rnacentral:lncRNA from 1 species
GGAAAUGGCCAUUCUACUGUUGUUGUUGAUGAUGAUGGUGAUGAUGAUGAUGAGUACUCACAUGUAAAAGAUGUCGAUGAUGGUUACGAGAAUAAUGAUGGUGGUAAAGAGAGUGAUGACUCGAUGGCCUCUGAUGCAUCUUCAGGGCCUAGCAAUCAGAUUUCAAACAACAUCAACAAACAUGCAGCUAGGAAGAAUGGUUCUAAACAAGUCUGCAUUCAAAAACGCCAACCUACAGAGAAAACAUUAAGCAAUGAAGGAGAAAAAUCUGAGGUCAAAGCUAGAACAAGAACAAGUGCAGCUAGCCGUGCCCAGAGUAGAGGCAAGGUGAGCAAAACCAAAUGAUGAUACUCACGAGAAGAACAUAUGGUGGUUCUCAUAGAAUCCAAAUCCUGUAAUGAAGAGAGAGAUGUUUAAGGUCCCUUACCAGUCCUGUUGUUUGCCUUUAAUAAGCCAUGUGUGUAGGUAGUUGCUUUGUUUUCAUUUGCCGGAAUAUGUUUUUUUUGUAGAUGCUGUCCCAAAUAAGUUAUCUGCACGGUUCUCCGUUCAACCCUGUUAAUGUUAUACCAUAUGUACCAUGUUCUUCACAUACAUAUCUUCAUCUUCAACACAUGAGCCAUCAAGAGGAGAACAAACAUUUCCUGAUUAAUUCACAAUAAAAACCACUUGAUAACCAAUCUAUACCAUUGAAAAGCACACACUAUUUAUGAAAUAGAAACUAAUCAUCCUUUACGGAGAAAAAAAGUGAUAAUGGAAUAUGAGUAUGACAAAGAGGUUGAUGUCAAAACAGGCGUUUCUAAGGUUACCAAUAUUGUUUCUAUGAUGUGUGGCUCAAGUACCUAACAGCAGAGCUUUGCUUGCUAACAAAAAAUGUCCUGCUACUUUCAAGAGCUUCACAUGAUUCUUCUACAAAACAACAAAACGUAAUCAUUCAAAAUAUGUCACUUUCGGUUACUAUAAACUGUUUGUAAGCACAUUUUAAAGAAACUAUUGGCAUAUCAGGAAAUAAGUUAUUAGAAAAGAUCAGAAACGAUCCUGUUGUCAUUUCUUUCCCACGUUGUCAACACAGUAGAACCACACCCAUCAGAGAAAGUUAAAACAAACAUGACAUAUAUUAAUUGCAUUUAUAGUAGCUAAAGAAACAGUUUGCUGGAAAGCUAUAGUUAGAGAUGUAACAUAUAAACUAAAAGAUAGAGACAAGUCCUUGCUUGACCAAUUCAACUGACAGCUAUACCAAAAUUUGCUGUUACAA